UCUUGGCACUGCGCAAAGUUCAAGGGCGUGGAGAGAAGAAUGGGAGGCGCAUCGCACCGCAGCCCACCUUUCCAGGCCCCGCGCGUGGGUGUAGAGGCCAGGGCGUGGUGUAGAGCUGAUAUGUGUGCCCCUGGCUGGACUCCUCCUUGGGGAGGGCGCUGGCCCUUUACGCCUCGGGGAGCCCGGGACCGUUCCCUAACCCCUCUAGCUCUCGUGUUCAGAGGAGAGCGCGCCCUCCGCGGGGCGGGCUCUCAUCUCUCCCCGGCAUUCCGGGAGGGAGCUCCGGAGAGGUGAGCCCUUGAACUUUCUUCUCCACCUGUGAGGGUACGCGUGUGGCUCGCUCCUCAGACUGGGUCCCCUCGGGCUGGCCACGCCGUCUCCCCCGAGGCUUCCUCGAAGCCGUUCAGGACUCGGUUUUCUUCUUUAGACCUGAAUCUCCUUAGGCGGACCGCAGAAAGACUGGAGCGUCCUUCUUCAGAAAGAGCGGCGCUCCAGGGGAAAGUAUGGUCAUUUAACAAAUAGAAGGAUUCCAAGCAUUUGUGAAGAAAAGAUCAGACCUGAACAGAAAAUUUGAUGCCUAAACACAGAACUCAAGAGAAUCACUAACAGGAAGAAUAAUAAAAAGAGAGCAACAGACUUGUAUGAAGGUCCUGAUGGCACCGCUGACCUUGAAUAAGUCACCUAGCCCCAUCCUGAGAUUGUUUUUAUGCUUUAUGGAAGCACAAGUCAUCACAAGAACCGUUUUAUUGUUUUCAUAUCCCCAAUGCCUCGCACAGUGCAUGGCACAAAGGUGUGCUUGACAAAGGCUUCUUGAAUUGAACGCAAUUCCACAUCCCAGGGAGAUUCAUACCUUGUCACCAUCAUCAUCUUUAUUGUUGCUAUAUCAUCCUCAUCCUCAUCUUCAUCAUUUCCAUUAAUAAUACUAACAGUGCUAGUCAAUGAACUAGCACUUCUAAAGUGCCUACUAUGUGCACAAUGUUAGGUGCUUUUGUAUCCAUGCCUCUGUGCAUUCUCAGGGAUUGUCCCUCCAUGCUUGGAAUUCAUUCCCUCCUGGUCUUCACUUCCCAGAAUUCUGAGUUUCCUUCUCGCCUGUCAGUUCAGUGCUGUCUCCAGCAAGAAGCCCUUCUUUAUGGAGCUUCUGUGAAAAUCCAGGAUGAAAAUGGAUGAAGAGCUCUUUGAAAAGUAAAUUGCUGGAUGAAUUAUAGAGUGCACUAGUUGAAAUAGCAGCAGCUUUGGGGUGAGAGGACUAGUUCAAAGCCCAGUUAGGCCACUCACUAGUUCUGGGCAAUACCCUUGGUCACUUGGCCUCUGUUGGGUUACAUCCUGCCCUAAGAACUCUUCUAGGUGUAGACCUAUGAUCUGAUGAGCCCACAGAUACUUAAUAGGUGCCUAAUAAUAUCAGUCAAGUUUUUAUUUAAGUAGCUACUGUCUGUCUUACACUGUCCGAGGUCCUGAGGAUUUAAAUAUAAAGAAGGAGCUGAUAUGCCAAUGGUAUAGACAACAGUUUUGUUUAAAAAUAUACACAACAAAUGGUAUAGAAAUGGGUCUUAGUCAAUGACACAUGUAAUACCCAGAGGAAUUGUGCAUCGGCUAUGGAAGGGGGGUGGGGAGGGCAGGGAAAGAACAUGAAUCUUGUAACCACGGGAAAACAUUCUAAAUCAAUUAAAUACAAUUAAAAAACAAUUUCAAGAAAAAAUAUAUUCAGCAGGGGCAACUAGAUGAUUCAGUGGAUUUAGAGUCAAGCCUAGAGACAGGAAGUCCUGGGUUCAAAUUUGGUCCUAAACACGUCCUAGCUAUGUGACACUGGACAAGACACUUAACCCCAUGGCCAGCUCUUUUUGCUUUGGAACUAAAACUUAGUAUUGCUUCUAAGAUGGAAGGUAAAGGUUUUCUAAAAAAAAUGUAAAAUCUAUAUGUAUACACACACAGCAUAAACAUCAUAUGAAUAAAUAUAAAUAUAUACAAGGUAAUUGAAUACAAGAUUUUUUAGGGAAGGAGAACACUAGCAAUUAGGGGAUCAGGGAAGACUGCAUAUAGAAGGCCAUUCUUGAGCUUUGUCUUAGAGACUUGAUCAGGUGAGGUGAGGAAGGAGCACAAUUCUAGGCAAGGGAGAGAGCCAAAGGUAUGGAGGAGGACCUCAAAGAGCUUGCAUUCUAGAUGGGGGAGCUACAACACAUAUAUGGAUAAGUAACCACUAGGUCAUUAGAGAGGAGAGAGAGAGAGUACUAACAACCAGGGGGAUCAGGAAAGGUUUCUUGGGAGGCAAGAAGGAGACUCAGAAUUCUGGGAGGUAAAGACCAGGAGAAAAUGAAUUCCAAGCUUGGGGAGACAAUUCCUGAGGAUGCCCAAAGGCAUAUACAAUGCACCUAGUGCAGUGCCUGGCACAUAGUAGGCACUUUAAAAGUGCUACUUCACUGACUAGCACUCAUUAGUAUUAUUAAUAGGAAUGACAAAGAUGAUUAUGAUAAUGAUGAUACAACAACAGUGGAGAUGAUGAUUAUAGCCAUGAUGAUAGUGAUGAUGACAAGGUAGACAUCUCCCUAGGAUUUGGAAUUUAGUUCAAGAAGUUCAACUCAAGAAACCUUUAUCAAUCACCUCUUUAUGCCAUGUACUGUGCCAGGCAUUGGGAGGAAAUGAGGACAACAAUAAAAUGGCCCUUGUGAUAACUUGUGAUUCUACAAAAUCCUAGCAGGACAUUUCUUCAGUGGUAUGAAAAUGACCCUGGUAUCAUGAAUGGUUCUGUCUGCAAAGGAUGGACAAUGGGCUGGUUCCAGCCUGCUGAAAAGGUUGAAAGACAGCAUAGCAUAGAGAACAGAGAACCAGACUGGUAACCAAGAGAACUUGGAUUCAUAAACCACCUCAAAUUUUUGUAAACCCUUACCUUCUGUUUUGGGAUCGAUACUGUGUAUUGGUUCCAAGGCAAAAGAGUGGUAACAGCUAGGCAAUGGGGGUCAAGUGACUUGCCCAGGGUCACACAGCUGGGAAGUGUCUGAGGUUAGAUUUGAACCCAGGACCUCCCAUCUCUGGGCCUGGCUCUCAAUCCACUGAGCUACCCAGCUGCCCCAAAACUCUUCAUAACUACAAAGUCCAGAAUGAUCAUAUCUCUUGCACUUACAGGUAUUCUAAGGCUCUUUCUGUUUUUCACUUUCUGGGUUCUAAGGUCUCUUCCAGCUCUAACAUUCUCUGUUCUAAGGUCUCUCCCAGCUCUGACAUUCUCUGUUCUAAGGUCUCCCCCAGCUCUGACAUUCUCUGUUCUAAGGUCUCUUCCAGCUCUAACAUUCUCUGUUCUAAGGUCUCUCCCAGCUCUGACAUUCUGGGUUCUAAGGUCUCUCCCGGCUCUGACAUCCUCAGGGUUUUUUUGUAUUUUUUUUUUACAGUUUUUGAAUUAAUUUAUUUAGUCAAUUUAGAACAUUAUUCCUUGAUCACAAGAAUCACAUUAUUUCCCUCCCUUCCCUUCCCCCACCCUUUCCGCAUCUGAUGCACAAUUCCACUGGGUAUUAUAUGUGUCCUUGAUCAGAACCUAUUUCCAUAUUGUUGAUGUUUGCAUUAGGAUGUUCAUUUAGAGCCUACAUCCUCAACCACAUCCUUUCAACCCAUGUGAUCAAGCAGUUGUUUUUCUUCGGUGUUUUUACUCCAAUAGUUUUUCCUCUGAAUGUGGAUAGUGUUUCUUUCUUGUAGAUCCCUCUGAGUUGUUCAGGAUCACCGCAUUGCCACUAAUGGAGAAGUCCAUUACAUUCUAUUGUACCACAGUGUAUCAGUCUCUGUGUACAAUGUUCUCCUGGUUCUGCUCCUUUCACUGCAUCCUGGAGGUUGUUCCAGUCUCCAUGGAAUCCUUCCAGUUCAUUAUUCCUUUGAUCACAAUAGCGUUCCAUCACCAACAUAUGUCACAAUUUGUUCAGCCAUUCCCCAAUUGAAGGGCAUCCCCUCAUUUUCCAAUUUUUGGCCACCACAGAGAGCACAGCUAUGAAUAUUUUUGUACAUGUCUUUUUCCUUAUUAUCUCUUUGGGGUACAAACCCAGAAGUGCUAUGCCCUUUGGGCAUAGUUCCAGAUUGCCCUCCAGAAUGGUUGGAUCAAUUCACAACUCCAUGAGCAAUGCAUUAAUGACAUUCUCAGUUCUAAUGACUGUCCCAGCUCUGACAUUCUGUGUUCUAAGCUCUCUCCCAGCUCUGACAUUCUCUGUUCUAAACUCUCCCAGCUCUGACAUCCUCUGUUCUAAGGUCUCUCCCAGCUCUGACAUUCUCUGUUCUAAGGUCUCUCCCAGCUCUGACAUUCUCUGUUCUAAGGACUCUCCCAGCUCUGACAUUCUAAGGUCUCUCCCAGCUCUGACAUUCUCUGUUCUAAGGACUCUCCCA